rnacentral:misc_RNA from 1 species
GAUGAAGAACGUAGCGAAAUGCGAUAAGUAAUGUGAAUUGCAGAAUUCAGUGAAUCAUCGAAUCUUUGAACGCACAUUGCGCCCGCCAGUAUUCUGGCGGGCAUGCCUGUUCGAGCGUCAUUACAACCCUCAGGCCCCCGGGCCUGGCGUUGGGGAUCGGCGGAGCCCCCCGUGGGCACACGCCGUCCCCCAAAUGCAGUGGCGGUCCCGCCGCAGCUUCCAUCGCGUAGUAGCUAACACCUCGCGACUGGAGAGCGGCGCGGCCACGCCGUAAAACACCCAACUCUUCUGAAGUUGACCUAGAAUCAGGUAGGAAUACCCGCUGAACUUAAGCAUAUCAAUAAGCGGAGGA